rnacentral:tRNA from 1 species
UAUUCCCGCUUGGCCAGACUCCAAGGACUACGGCUUGAAAAGCCAUUGUUGUUCUCAACUACAGGAAC